CGCUGCCGCCGUUGCAGCUGCCGCUGCCGCCACAGCCGCCGCUGCAGCCGGAGCAUCCGGGAGCCGCCACUGCCGCCGCCGCUGCCGCUGCUACCGCCACUAGCGCUGCUUCCACUGCUUCUACCUCCCCUCCCAGGACCCCGAGACACCCCGGGCGCGAGCGGCAGCGCUGCUUGCUUGCUCCCCCUCUCCCCCAGCCCUUCCCCUCCUUGCAGCCCUCGCCCGCACCUUCUCCGACACCCCGGCAUCCCUGCACCACCUGCUCGGGCAGCCCCGGCGGGCUCUGGGACUUGCUGUGCGCGCCGAGAGGAAGGCAAGCUCCAAACCCCUGCCUGGAAGACGGGCUGUCGCGGCUGCACCACCAGCAGGAGGAGGAGGAGAAGAAACUAUUUCGCCCACCGAUACCCCAUUCUGCGGGUGCUUUGCCGCUGCCGCUUCUGCUGCCGCCGAUCCGAGUCCGCGGGUUCGAACACCGCAGCGGUGGGGACGGUGGGUCCGGCGGGCGCCGGGAGGAGGACACCAGCGGAGCCCUGCACUCUAGUGCCCCGCUCACCAGCAUCUACUUGCCCCCUCGUUCCUUCCCCAGCCCUUUAGAGAAGGGACCAUGAUUUGGAAACGCAGCGCCGUUCUCCGCUUCUACAGUGUCUGCGGGCUCCUGCUACAAGGUCGCCUUUUCUUUUCCCCCUCUUCCCACCAUCAUCAUAUCCGUGUGUCUUUAAAAAGUAUGUGAGAGCCUGGGAGCGAGCUACCAAGACGGCGAGAACAGCAGCAGCGGCAGCACCGUGUGCAUUGCAAUAACAUCCCCGGGGGGGAAAUGUGUUCUGAGACGUGUCAUUCACUUAGGAAGAGAGAGGUGACCCUGUCUGGGAUUUAAAAAAAAAAAAAAAGAAAAAAAGAAAAAGAAAGAAAGGAAAAAGAAUAAGAAAAAAUAAAAAAAUGAAUGAAUGAAUAAAUAAACCAAUAAUUUAAGAAAGGGGAGAAAAGGCAAAAAAAUUAAAAGACCCAAACCCA
rnacentral:sRNA from 1 species